rnacentral:rRNA from 1 species
UGCGUAGGCGGACAGGUAAGUCAGUGGUGAAAUCUCUGGGCUUAACUCAGAAACUGCCGUUGAUACUAUUUGUCUUGAAUAUCAUGGAGGUAAGCGGAAUAUGUCAUGUAGCGGUGAAAUGCUUAGAUAUGACAUAGAACACCUAUAGCGAAGGCAGCUUACUACAUGAAGAUUGACGCUGAGGCACGAAAGCGUGGGGAGCAAACA